rnacentral:tRNA from 1 species
CGUGGCCUAGUGGAUAAGGCAUCGCACUUCUACUUUCCGACCCGCGAGAUGGGCGGGGGGCAUGCGAGGACCGGGGGUUCGAAUCCCUCCGG